UACGUAGGUGGCAAGCGUUGUCCGGAAUUAUUGGGCGUAAAGCGCGCGCAGGUGGUUCCUUAAGUCUGAUGUGAAAGCCCACGGCUCAACCGUGGAGGGUCAUUGGAAACUGGGGAACUUGAGUGCAGAAGAGGAAAGUGGAAUUCCAAGUGUAGCGGUGAAAUGCGUAGAGAUUUGGAGGAACACCAGUGGCGAAGGCGGCUUACUGGUCCGGAACUGACGCUGAGGUGCGAAAGCGUGGGGAGCAAACAGG
rnacentral:rRNA from 1 species